GACGAACGCUGGCGGCGUGCUUAACACAUGCAAGUCGAGCGGUAAGGCCCUUCGGGUACGACGAGCGGCGAACGGGUGAGUAACACGUGGGUGACCUGCCUCUAGCUCUGGGAUAAGCCUGGGAAACUGGGUCUAAUACCGGAUAUGACUCCACGGCGCAUGUUGUGGGGUGGAAAGCCUUGUGUGGCUAGAGAUGGGCCCGCGGCCUAUCAGCUUGUUGGUGGGGUGAUGGCCUACCAAGGCGACGACGGGUAGCCGGCCUGAGAGGGCGACCGGCCACACUGGGACUGAGACACGGGCCCAGACUCCUACGGGAGGCAGCAGUGGGGAAUCUUGCGCAAUGGGCGAAAGCCUGACGCAGCGACGCCGCGUGGGUGAUGAAGGCC
rnacentral:rRNA from 1 species